GGCGAUCGAGCUCACAGAAUUCGACAUCCACUAUCGACCCAGGCCAACAGUGAAAGUCCAGAUAUUGGCAGAUUUUAUAGUGGAGUGUACUAUCCCUGAGGAAGCCGAACCUGAACAAGGCGAACUUGUCGGCCUGAAGCCCCCACCGAGCUCCCCCAAAGAAGAGGCAGGUCCCUCUGACUACUCUUGGGCCCUCUGCGUGGAC
rnacentral:lncRNA from 1 species